UACUAAAUCAUGUUUAUUGAACGUGUUUGUGGUUUUCACCAUGAAAAAUACACCUUUUUACUAUUCUGACUUUAUUUUGCUUGUGUUGUAUGGGUCCAAUGUGUUGAUACAGUAUGUCAAAAUUAGACUUAAUUAUUAAUAAUUACGGCAAAUUCACAUAUCUGAGGUUGUGCUGAAAAAAAUGAUAACCAGACACUGGCAUGGAAAGUUUUUGCAAGUUUUUAUGUUGAAAUGUCAAGGAAAAAACAAAACUAGUAAAAUACCAUAGACUUCUAAGUGUUAAGUAACUGCUUCUCCUUAAUGUUAGGCCUCUGAUGUCAUAGCAGUUCAGACGGCUGUCCUGCACUGUCUUUCAGUUCUUCUCGGCGAUGAUGGCAGCGAUUUCUUCAAAGUGUGUUUUGAAUCAGAUGUCACUGCAGAUCAUACACAGGUUCCUGUUGGGGUAUUGACAGUUAUACCCGACAACAGCAAGCAGCCGGGCCCAAAUGCCCUGCACCCCCAACCAUCAGGCACUGAUAUAAUACUGGAAGGUGGUAACAUCAUAAUGGGCGGUAUUGAAAACCAACGCGCAAUUUUGUCCCGGCCACUGCAAUGGACUCUGUGGUCUCCUCCGGUGCUACAGUCUGAGAAUGAUGCUGGCCGCAUGACCUUAGAGACAAUGGAUUCUUUGAUGGCGGGCUUCUGGAUAAAAACCUCCUCCAGUUCUGUUGCAUGGGACUUAUCCAGGAUGAGCUGGAUGACACUGCACAGGUUUGGAAUGCACACACCAUCAGGCCAUCCAAAAACAUGAAUGUCCCCAGCGGUCGGCCUAAUGUGAUGUAUGCUAUGCCUGAACUGUACAGGACAAGAGAUUUCCUAAACCAGGGUGAAGAUGACCAUGUUCAACUGUGCAAAAAUGAAUGUGUCUUUCGGUCAACCAUACCCUGCGAUUCAGAUAUAAAUGAAUUAUGCAAUAUUACUAUGGCAGAGUCCCACCUGUAUCUACCAAAUGAUCCAUAUCAAGCUGUAUACUUGUCCGUUGGCAGUCUGCUCCCAAAGUCUCAAAAAGUAUCCUUUGUUUUUUGGUUCUUGGUUGCAUUUGGAAAUGAAGAUGCUGCAGUAAAUAAAAACAAAACCUGUUAGUACUAAUUUAAAUUAAUGGUAGUGAGAAAAACAUAUUCUACAUUUACUAUUAAAGGUUGUGCAUAACAUACAUAUGGGUGAAACACCAAAAGCUUAGUAAGGAUAAAAAACCAUAUUUAUUGUGAAAUAAAUGGAACAUUAAAUGGAUCUAACCACACACGAAUAACAUAGUCCUGAAAAAUAAUUUCAUCUUAGAGAAGAGAUUGCACAUGCAAAAAGUUGUUGAGAAGCCCUGGAGUGAUUGCUGGCACAAAAUGCAACUGUUUGUACAAAGUACAUGUGGAUUAAGUUAUUACCUAAAGUUGAUUCCAUCUCUACCCAUGUUUCUCCAUCAUCAUCAUUACUUUAUUUAUUAUAAACGCUUCUAAUAUCAAAAACCUGUUCACUGCUUCCACUGUCAGAUGUAUGUCUGUGCUCCACUGGAUCUGUGAUCAAAUGUUCUGCACCAGUUUGACUCAACUGUGGAUCCACUUCCUCUGUUGUACUGACAGAUGAAUCCUUAGAUAAGAAAUCUUCACUGUAUUCAGUCGCUACAGAUGAUGACUCAUCUGUUGAAGGUGCUUCUUCUUUUGUGCAAAUGUAAAAUCUAAGCAUUUUCAGUUUGGUUUUUCAUAAAGUCUGCCAACAGUGUCAUCCAUAGUAAUCUGGUUUUAAAACGAGAUAUCCAUGUAAUUCUACAUCCUCAGCAAGAUGGGUUACCCCAUGAACAUUGUAACUAACAAAUUCAGCACCAUACAAUUCACUGAAAUGUGUUACAAGAGACACAAGUAGUGUGUGUGCAAAGUCAUGAAGAGCUACAGACAAUGAAGGACUUGCAAGAAUGAAAAUGGCAACAGAUAACAACAUGAAGUUGUUAUAAACUGAAGUUGACAACACAUUGCGGAGAAACACUUGUCCGGUAUACAGUAAGAAAUGUGGCAGCUCUGUGGCCUUCCACCUCGGCCUUUCUGAAAGCCCCCUUGGUUUACGAGCAAAAUCAAUGGGAAUGAAAUAUCUUGAGCCUAUGAGUUCACUAGAGAUUUGAUCCGUUUGAUGAGACGACAAGGGCCCUGAUGUAAACCACAAAUCCAACAGUUUUCGCACUACCCCAAGACAGACAAGAUGCAUAUAUUCAUGCCACAAAUACACCAUAAAGAACGAUACUAUGAUUAGUUAAGGGGACCGGAUCAUGAUCACUGAUUAUUCUACUCCUACUCAUAUCCUGAGAAGCUUGAUAAAUACUGUCCCUGAACUGGAACAGACUGAGAAGUCCAACAGAACAUCCAACACAUCCCUAAAGAUACUCUCAGGCUGUGUGGCUUCGUGCUUUUCCUCAUAGCCAUGUCACAGGCUGCCCUGAUGCUAACAUCACCGCUCAGCCUGUCUUUGUAUGAUACUGGGGAAAAAUAAGCGACAGCAAGUCUAUGGAGCUCUAAUAGCUAGCAAUAAGAAAUCAGAAAUUUGCAGUUUUCUAUCAGCUAAAAUGAACUUUUCGGUGUUAGCUUGCUAGUGACGUAUUGAAUUAUCCCCGUUCAGGAUAUUAACGUUAGCUAACAUUAUAAAAUCCAUAUUUUUCUUAAUGCUUCAUCCUACUAACCUUAGCUAACAUAAGCAGAUACAUACACUUGUAGUUGCUUUUGUAUGAGGAAGCGUAUAGCUUAAACCCCUUAUCCAUUUUGGUGGCAGGAGUUUUAGAUGUCAACCUGCAUCUGCGAUAGACACUGGUUACACCCAUGUUUGGAAGCUCAUGAAAGCAUCUCAAGUAAAACAGCGCUAUAUUCAACUUAGCUCGUACAGCCGACCUGAACUGGAAGCAACGUGACCUGUUUUACAGAAUAAGGAAGUCUGUUGUGCCUAAACCCCAUACCAGUUAUACUAGACUAGACCAGUGGUUCCCAAACAGGGGGGGGGGCGCCCCCUACAGGGGGCACAGAGGUAUUGCAGAGGGGCACACCAAUGGGAUAGCCUACGCUCAACUUAAGCACCGCUAGCAAAAACAUGGAUAAGUUUGUGGAUUCAGCCAAGUCUCCAGCAGAGGCCGACUCUUCAUCAGCUGCAGGUUCAAGCUCCAAAGCAAAGAAGAGAGAACAUGAUGAGUCAUAUCUGGGCCUUGGUUCCACAGCGACGAUGGUGGGUAACGAGGAGAGACCACAGUGUGUUGUGUGUCUGAAAAUAUUUGCUGCUGACAGUCUGAAGCCGAACAAAUUAAGAUGUAAUUUGGAGACAACACACCCUAAGCAUAAAGAUAAGCCAGUUGAUUUCUUUAAAGGAAAACUCACAAACCGCUGUGCACAACAAAGCAUCAUUACUGAAGCUGUAUCUUUGCAUAAAAACGCUCAACUGGCAUCAUAUAAAGUUCCCUACCAAGUUGCUCAUUGUCAAAAACCGCACACAAUAGCUGAGGAAUUAAUACUUCCCUCCACUAUCGAUAUGGU